rnacentral:rRNA from 1 species
UGCGCAGGCGGCCUGCUAAGUCGGAUGUGAAAGCCCCGGGCUUAACCUGGGAAUUGCAUUCGAUACUGGUAGGCUAGAGUCUGGUAGAGGUAAGCGGAAUUCCGGGUGUAGCGGUGAAAUGCGUAGAUAUCCGGAGGAACACCAGUGGCGAAGGCGGCUUACUGGACCAAGACUGACGCUCAUGCACGAAAGCGUGGGUAGCAAACA